CAAUAGCGUAUAUUUAAGUUGUUGCAGUUAAAAAGCUCGUAGUUGGAUUUCGGGUGGGACGCAGCGGUCUCGCAUUGCGUUUGUACUGCUGCAGCCCUCCUUCUUGCCGGGGGCGGCCUCUCGGACUUCACUGUCUGGGGGUCAGAAUCGGCGAUGUUACUUUGAGUAAAUUAGAGUGUUCAAAGCAAGCUUACGCUCUGAAUAUAAUAGCAUGGGAUAACACGACAGGACUCUGGCCUAUCGUGUUGGUCUAUAGGACCAGAGUAAUGAUUAAGAGGGACAGUCGGGGGCAUUCGUAUUCCGUUGUCAGAGGUGAAAUUCUUGGAUUUACGGAAGACGAACUACUGCGAAAGCAUUUACCAAGGAUGUUUUCAUUAA
rnacentral:rRNA from 1 species